rnacentral:rRNA from 1 species
AACGAACGCUGGCGGCAUGCCUAACACAUGCAAGUCGAACGAGACCUUCGGGUCUAGUGGCGCACGGGUGCGUAACGCGUGGGAACCUGCCCUUAGGUUCGGAAUAACUCCCCGAAAGGGGUGCUAAUACCGGAUAAUGUCUUCGGACCAAAGAUUUAUCGCCUUUGGAUGGGCCCGCGUUGGAUUAGCUAGUUGGUAGGGUAAAAGCCUACCAAGGCGACGAUCCAUAGCUGGUCUGAGAGGAUGAUCAGCCACACUGGGACUGAGACACGGCCCAGACUCCUACGGGAAGCAGCAAUGGGGAAUAUUGGACAAUGGGCGAAAGCCUGAUCCAGCAAUGCCGCGUGAGUGAUGAAGGCCUUAGGGUUGUAAAGCUCUUUUACCCGGGAUGAUAAUGACAGUACCGGGAGAAUAAGCGCCGGCUAACUCCGUG